rnacentral:tRNA from 1 species
UGAGAUCUAGCUCAGGGGCAGAGCGCUUGCCUCACAUGCAUGAGGCACUGGGUUCCAUCCUCAGCACCACAU